rnacentral:rRNA from 1 species
CGAGGGGAGUGAAAAAGAACCUGAAACCGUGUACGUACAAGCAGUGGGAGCCUCUUUUAUGGGGUGACUGCGUACCUUUUGUAUAAUGGGUCAGCGACUUAUAUUCUGUAGCAAGGUUAACCGAAUAGGGGAGCCGAAGGGAAACCGAGUCUUAACUGGGCGUUAAGUUGCAGGGUAUAGACCCGAAACCCGGUGAUCUAGCCAUGGGCAGGUUGAAGGUUGGGUAACACUAACUGGAGGACCGAACCGACUAAUGUUGAAAAAUUAGCGGAUGACUUGUGGCUGGGGGUGAAAGGCCAAUCAAACCGGGAGAUAGCUGGUUCUCCCCGAAAGCUAUUUAGGUAGCGCCUCGUGAAUUCAUCUCCGGGGGUAGAGCACUGUUUCGGCAAGGGGGUCAUCCCGACUUACCAACCCGAUGCAAACUGCGAAUACCGGAGAAUGUUAUCACGGGAGACACACGGCGGGUGCUAACGUCCGUCGUGAAGAGGGAAACAACCCAGACCGCCAGCUAAGGUCCCAAAGUCAUGGUUAAGUGGGAAACGAUGUGGGAAGGCCCAGACAGCCAGGAUGUUGGCUUAGAAGCAGCCAUCAUUUAAAGAAAGCGUAAUAGCUCACUGGUCGAGUCGGCCUGCGCGGAAGAUGUAACGGGGCUAAACCAUGCACCGAAGCUGCGGCAGCGACACUGUGUGUUGUUGGGUAGGGGAGCGU